rnacentral:rRNA from 1 species
CUGCAGCUCGAGUGGUGAUCACUAUUAUUGGGCCUAAAACGUCCGUAGCCUGUCUUAUAAAUGCCUGGGUAAAUCGUGCCGCUUAACGGUACGAAUUCCGGGUAGACUGUAAGACUUGAGACCGGGUGAGGCUAGAGGUACUCCUGGGGUAGAGGUGAAAUUCUGUAAUCCUGGGGGGACCACCAGUGGCGAAGGCGUCUAGCUAGAACGGGUCUGACGGUGAGGGAUGAAAGCUGGGGGAGCAAACCGGAUUAGAGACCCGCGUAGUCC